rnacentral:rRNA from 1 species
UACGGAGGGGGCUAGCGUUGUUCGGAAUUACUGGGCGUAAAGCGCACGUAGGCGGCUUUGCAAGUUAGAGGUGAAAGCCCGGGGCUCAACUCCGGAAUUGCCUUUAAAACUGACAUCGCUAGAAUUGUGGAGAGGUAAGUGGAAUUCCGAGUGUAGAGGUGAAAUUCGUAGAUAUUCGGAAGAACACCAGUGGCGAAGGA